UAAGUAGGAUGCAAGCGAUGUCCGGAUUUAUUGGGUUUAAAGGGUGCGUAGGCGGCCUAUUAAGUUAGUGGUGAAAACGUUCGGCUUAACCGGAUACCCGCCAUUGAUACUGAUAGACUUGAGUGCGACAGAGGGGGUUGGAAUGUGUGGUGUAGCGGUGAAAUGCUUAGAUAUCACGCAGAACACCAAUUGCGAAGGCAGAUGCCUAUGUCGUAACUGACGCUGAGGCACGAAAGCGUGGGGAGCAAACAGG
rnacentral:rRNA from 1 species